GACGAACGCUGGCGGCGUGCUUAACACAUGCAAGUCGAACGGAAAGGCCCUGCUUUCGGGGUGCUCGCGUGUGGAACAGGGGAGUAACACACGUGAGUUCCCUGCUCCAGUUUUUGGGAAGCCUUGGAAACACUGGCUAAAAUCGCGGAUAGGCGAUCUUGAUUGUGGGGGGGGGAUAGAUAGUUUGGGCGGUGUGGGAUGGACUCGCGGCUUAUCAGCUUGUUGGUGGGGUAGUGGCUUACCAAGGCAGUGGCGGGUAGCCGGCCUGAGAGGGUGGCCGGCCACAUUGGGACUGAGAUACGGCCCAGACUCCUACGGGAGGCAGCAGUGGGGAAUAUUGCACAAUGGGCGGAAGCCUGAUGCAGCAACGCCGCGUGCGGGAUGACGGCCUUCGGGUUGUAAACCGCUUUCGCUAGUGACGAAGCUUUUGUGACGGUGACGAGUAAAGAAGCACCGGCUAACUACGUG
rnacentral:rRNA from 1 species